GUCUCUGUGGCAUACUUGGUUAGCGUGUUCGGCUGUUAACCGAAAGGUUGGUGGUUCGAUUCCACCCAGUGACG